rnacentral:lncRNA from 10 species
CUCUCAUCUCCAACCAGAAGGAACUAUGAGAGAGAGAGAGAAAGAGAGAGAGAGAGAAAGAGAGAGAGAGAGAAUAUGUGCUCAUCUUAGGAUAAGACUGUCAGAUAAAAUACUAGACACUCUAUGAAACUUGAAUUUCAUAUAAAUAGCAAGUAAUUUUUUAGUAUAAUUAUGUCCCAAAUACUGCAUGGGACAUACUCAUACUAAAAAAAAUUGUCUAUAUGAAAGUGAAAUUUAAAUAGACAUCCUGUAUUUUUUUCUUCCUUUUUCUAGCAACCCAGUGAUUCCAUGGAAAGCAGAAAGAAGGACAUAAAGAAACGGAUACUUGGUGACAUCUUUGACUCACUGGAUCAAACCUUGCCUGAAGCUCACAUUUCUGAAAUUUCCAGAUACAAGAACAAAUACUUCCUCUUUAUUGUUUUACUAGAUUUGAGACAAGCUUUAAGUUUCUCAGACUCUUCCUCUUCCUAACAGAUUUAUCAGAAGCUGAAAGCUCUGAUCUUGUUGGGAUGCGGAUCGUGUCAGGAGAAGGCUUACUUUGCACGCUUUUCUUAGUCUGGUUGCCUAACUCAAGAACCUCGGCAUGGCUCUGUUACUUCUCUACUCAGACAAGCAUCCCUGCAGACACUCACUAGGCUAACUCUGUCUUUAUUUUUAGAAUUAGACCUUUACGAGAAGCACAGUUUUGUCUUCAGUUUCCUCUCCCCCCACCCGGAAUGGCCUGAGCCGAAGCCAGCUCCCUCCGAGAAGUCAUUACCGCCUGACUUGCGUUUGAUAUUUAGACACCUUGGUCACAACAUCUUGCAUUCUCUCGGGAUGCUGAUUUCUAACUGCUCUUUGGCCUUUCCUGCAUUGGUCCUCCUCAGGCAGGGGAUCCCUGCUCUUCUAUAUUAAUGCUGGCUCCCCGUCCCCUGUCCACCAUGAGUCAAAGCAAUGUGAGUCCCUCACCAGAUGCAACUGCCCAGUCUUGGACUUUCCAGUGACCAGAAUCAUGAGCCAAAUAAAC